rnacentral:misc_RNA from 1 species
GAAACUAAUAGACUAUAUUUUUGUUCUUGUUGAUAAAUGUACACAUUGACAAAAUAAACUAUAUUUAUGCCUAUAAGAAAAUAGGGAAAAUCAUGAAUCCCUGUCUCAAAACUGACAAGUAAAUAUAUCUCAUUCUGCAUUGUUCUACAAUUACACGGUUGGUGCCUGAACCAAUUGAUCAGGCUUUUGACAACUUGCAUGAACUUCCUCCAGAUGUGCUCAGAUUACAAGUUACAAUUCCAUUGCCAAAGUAAGGAUUAUCAUUUCAAACCAACAACAAAUUCUCAACAGGAGUAAAGGAAAACAAAUUCUCAAUGAUUGGGUAUAUGUAUCAUCAAUAAGAUUAAAAGUUCAACUUUAUAAAAAUCAUGGAAUCAAGAGAAAAGAACACAGAACAAAGAGAAAUAAAAAUUGAUACAACUAAAAAAGAAAAACCGCAUUAAUAACUUAUCAAUCACACAUUCAGAACCUUAAACCCUCAAUUUGAGGGUGAGAAAUCAAGAAAAGGCCGAGACUUGAGAAAUCAUUACCUUAAUCCAAUGAACGUGCUGAGAUAUAAGAAAAUGAGCCAAGCUUAGGGUGUGCAAAAGUGAGGAGGAGUGAGGGUGACUGACUCUGGGAGUGAAGUUGACUAAGAGAAGGGAGAAAGGAAGGGAGUGAGGGUGAUGGAGACUGUGACUGAGUCAGGGUUUGAGCAAGGCUGUGACUCGCAAGGGGAGGGGGGGGGGAGGACAGCCACUGCAACUGCAACAAGUAGAGACCAAAAGAGGAAUCGAGAACGCAAACCAAAAGGCAGGAGCUGUGAGAGAAUUGGACAAAGAGGGAACAAAAUGCAGAAGGAAAUUAGGGAUUUUAGUCUUGGGCUGGGUGGGUAUAAAACGAUAGCCACAAUUACUAAAAACAACAGCAAUAUAUGUAUAUACGAAGUAAGGAACAGAACUUCGGUCAGUUCAAUUAUUUCAUUUUUUGACAUUAAUAACUGAAUUGAAUCGAGUAACUGAAAUAUUCGAAAAUAACUAACUGAAAUGAACCGUUUAGACAAAAAAUCAAACCAAAAAACCAAAUUAGAAUGGUUCGGUUUGUCAGUUACAACCGUUUAAUGCUCAACUCUAGUUGGACACUUCAUCUCAACAAUCUUGCUGAUACCGACAGCCAGAGUUUGGCGCGUGUCCCUCACAUGGGUUACUCAGACAUAGUUGCCAAAAAUGUGGGCUUAGCAGAAUCAUCUUGAGGAACCCAGUAUCAUCAUUAUUCAAGAGCUUGAUUUCCUUCUUAAGCUCCUUUCCAGAUCACCUAUUGAUUUCGGUAAAAUCUUGGGAAACUUUACAGCAAUGUGGGAAAGAUUGCAUCAAGAGCUGGGGUAUAUUCAUUUCAAAUCUGGCCAAGUUACUCAACUCUAAGAACAAAUUAUGUACAGUUGUGUCAAAAAUAAGACAAGUUAGUGCCCCUAUUAAGCAACCUAUAUCAUUCAAGAACAUAAAUACAUGAAUAGAAUUUGCACCAAAUUGAAAUCAGAUAACAUAUGAAUCAAAUGCUGAAUCAAGCAGGUAAAAGAAACCAUUGAGCAGGCCUAAACACUUCAUUUCUGUAGAAGAAACAAAACUCUAAAUCAUACAGUUAUUAAAAGGAUGGACAAAAAGGUAAGCCCUCUUUACAGAAAUUUGUUUGGACAAGUAGACAUUAUUGUCAUUGAUCAACUGUCCUAAAGCUGAUUUUGAGAUCAACAGUUAAGUGAAAAUGGAUCGGCGAAUAAGUAUGUCAAUGUUAAGAUUGUGGCUUAUAUUCAGGAAGACACUGCAUACAGAAAGCUCCAUGCAAAAAGAAAAAAAGAGGGGCAUCAGGGAGUGAAUCCCACAGUACAAUUUAAUGCUGUUAGCCUAAUAUACAAUUCUAAUUAUCGAAGGUUAUUCUUUAUUUAUGAGUUCCUCCUAUUCCUACUUGUCAAAGGAAAUCUCUUGUACCUCCAUAAAGAAGUGCUUGUAAACACCUUCUUUAUUGUGAAAAAACAGAGUUGGCUAUCUGUGGAAGUAGGCAUAUUGCUGAACCAAGGAAAAUACUUGUGUUGAUUUACUGUGUGUAAGGGUGUGAGACAUUAACAUUCAAUAGUUGAAGACCAAGGGUCAUGCUAGAAUUAUCAACCAUUUACUACAGGCAACAGCCUUAGUUAUCAUCCUCUCUAUGCAUUUCUUAGUUCUUAUUCCAUUCAGAAAGGUCUCUUCAAAAUCUAAGAUGAUGCACAUGCCUUCAUAUUUCCUGAUAAAGAAGAUCAGAAAGAAUUUGGCAUACAACAAUGUUUUCAACUAUCAAAACUUCCAUAAAAUUUCAUUACCAAAGUUACAACAUCAAUUCAGGAUCAUUCUCAAGUUUCCACUGAACAUGUAAUGCUACAACCAAAAACAAAUGUUGAAUGAAAAGAAUGCCAAAAACAAAUAUAAUGAAUGUGUACCGCAUUGCACUGAUGCCCAAGCUACACCAUCCUCACAUUCUCUGAGGAGUUGUUCCAUUGUUCACAGCUUUCACAAUUGUUAAUGAUUGUCAAAUUCAUAAACUUGGGUUUACCUAACUGCAAAAUGAUAGAAUAUUAUCACAUCAACAUUCUGCUUUUUACACAAGCAAAACUGUUGCAUCAUAAUUCAUGCACGUUUCUUUAUAGUUAAAAGCAAAUUAAAUAGUUCAGAAGGUAAUAACUAGAACAUCCCAGAUAAUAUUAACCCAUGAGAACUCCAUGCACAUCUUAGAUCCCAUCAGGGAUCAAACAUAGAAAUCAGCUUCUUAUGUAAAUCUGCUUCUCCACUAAUGACAUUAUAUUGUAAGUCUUUGAGUAUGGAAAACUAAUACGGGUUAUAUUUGGUAAAACUGAAAUAGACAGGAGGAUUUAAAAAAAUAUAUGUAGUACACCAAAGUAUGUAAUAUUGUAGAUCAUAGUUCCUGGAUAUACUUUAACAAAAUUGAACACAUAGGAUAAAAGUUGAUAAAGAUCGUGCAAUAAUAUUAGGAACACCCAUUUGACUUUUAAUUUUCAAAUUAUUAUAAGCAUUAUAAUUUGUAACAUAUGUGAAAAUUUUAAGACCCAUUAAUUUGGGCUUCCAAGGAAUGUACAUAUUAUACCAAAAUAGUACAUCAAAGAUGAUACUUAUGAAUUAUAUACAAUUCCAUUUUAGAUAUAGCGGAACCAUAUCAUGUAUGGAAAUGCUUAAAGAAGCCCAAUGCUUGAUAUACCUGAUCCAUUUUUCGUCAUUUUAAUUUCCAAAGUCAUCUUCAAGCACAUAUUGAAGCUUCCUGUAAGUAGGCCCAUCCACAAGGUUUUUCUCUCCCCAAUCUUUCAACAAGUCCAUAGCCUCUCCAAUCCUUCCUUGCCUGCAAAUCUCAUCCAAUAGUGUCCUGUAUGUGAUAAAAUCAGGUGAUCUAUGUUUCCUAAUCAUCUCCCAUAAAUAAUUUACUGCUUCCUCAACUUUCCCACCAAGAGCCAAGGCAUUAACAAGUGAAUUAUAUGACUUGCUACUUGGAACAAACCCUUUUAUCUUCAUCUCAUCACACAACUCCCUAGCAUUAUUUGUUCGACCUUGAGCACAGAACCCAUAGAUCAGAUAAUCAUAGGAAAAAGAAUUAGGCAAGCAGUUAUAGACCACACCCAUUUGAUGGAAUAUUCUCAAAGCAUCAUUAACAUGGAGGGAAAGUACGUACCCUUUUAUCAUAGAAUUCAAUGAGUAAAUGUCAGGCUCAAUUCCAUCAUCGACCAUCUGCUUAAACAAACAUCUAAUAGUCUCCAUAUAGAGAUAAUUUAUAUAGGAAUUUUUUCCCCUACUCAACAUUGCUGUGAAAAGAAUAUUAUAGGUUCGAAUCGAAGGCCUGCAAUCCAAGUUUCGACCAUUUCUCAUGUGCUUAAAUAUAUUCACUGCUCUAGUCAACUUCCUAGCUUCAGUGAAGAAAUAGAUAAUCGUAUUGUAUAAAGCCUCAUUACAAAUAUGAGGAACAGCAAGCACUUGGUUAACAACAUCAUCCAUUUCUUUGUACAUUUUAGCAACACCAAGCUUCUUUAUAGUAAUAUGAAAAGUGGACGCAUCAUGCCUAAACCUAUGCUGCUGUGAUGCCCAAUUAAAUAUCUCAAAACAUACCAAAGGAUCUUCUUGAAGAGUUAAGACAUUGCACAGUUCUUCAUUAGUGAAUCUUGGUGGGAGUUGGGAAAUUGCUUCUUGAGACUUAGCUUCAUCAAGAACAGGCUUCCUGCUGGCUUUCAACCUUUUACUUUGUCUCCUUCUAAAGGACCUCGAUGGUGCUUUAGUGGAGUAACAAGAACACAAAAAAACACCAAAUUUUGGAUUUGAAGGCAAAUUGGAACUUGGGGCGAUUUGGAUCUGGGCUAAAACGUUCAUACACUUGAAUGAAUUGAUAGUGGGAUUUAAAAGACAAUAGCUUUUAGAGUAAUGGGUCAAGGAGGUCAAUAAAGGAAAUGCAAAAUUACAGAAGCUUUUGGAGUGAUAAGAGAAACUAGGGUGAAUCCAAAAAUAGUAUCUAGAAUAAAUUUGUGUCAAGCAAUCUCUACGUAUAAAAAUCAUUUGCUUCAACUUACCCAGAUGACCGAUUUUCUACCAGGUUGAUGCGCUAGCCGAAUUGGACGCUCUCUCUCAUCUUUCAGAAUCAGUGAAAAUGCUUAACAAAGCCGAAUUUUAGGUUCGUAUUGUAGAAUCGAAGUAAGGAAAACAAGUGAAGCUGAAUUUGAUAAAGCUUGAAAGAGAACGAGAAAGGGCUGCAUUGAUGAACUGUCAUCUUUGUUUCCCGGGGAGAAGAAAAGGGCAAUUCUCGGAUGGCCCAUGGCAGGCCGCUCUGGUUGUAAGCCUAAGCCCAUUUCAGCUUUUGGAGGAUUCAUUGAAAAAGGCGAAGCAACGCACGUUUCAUUGUAAGAAUUAACGAUGUGCGGUUUGGUUUUUA